GCUGGGCGCAGUGGCUCACGCCUGUAAUCCCAGCACUUUGGGAGGCUGAGGUGGGUGGAUCACCUGAGGUCAGGAGUUCGAGACCAGCCUGACCAACAUGGUGAAACCCCAUCUCUA
rnacentral:SRP_RNA from 1 species